rnacentral:rRNA from 1 species
GAUGAACGCUAGCUACAGGCUUAACACAUGCAAGUCGAGGGGAAACGGCAUUAAGUGCUUGCACUUUUUGGACGUCGACCGGCGCACGGGUGAGUAACGCGUAUCCAACCUUCCCAUGACUAAGGGAUAACCUGCCGAAAGGCAGACUAAUACCUUAUGGUCUUCACUGACGGCAUCAGAUGUGAAGUAAAGAUUUAUCGGUUAUGGAUGGGGAUGCGUCUGAUUAGCUUGUUGGCGGGGUAACGGCCCACCAAGGCAACGAUCAGUAGGGGUUCUGAGAGGAAGGUCCCCCACAUUGGAACUGAGACACGGUCCAAACUCCUACGGGAGGCAGCAGUGAGGAAUAUUGGUCAAUGGGCGAGAGCCUGAACCAGCCAAGUAGCGUGCAGGAUGACGGCCCUAUGGGUUGUAAACUGCUUUUGUAUGGGGAUAAAGUCAAUCACGUGUGUUUGUUUGCAGGUACCAGACGAAUAAGGACCGGCUAAUUCCGUG